rnacentral:lncRNA from 1 species
CCAUGCUCUAUUCCAAAAGAUUUUGACUCCUGCUUCCAUCACAACAGAGACUUUACUGGCCCAUUUGUACUAUGUGACCCUACCCCCUCCCCUGGACUUCGGUAAGGCAGUCAUGGAUGAAUAAUUUGAUGCCCCAAAGAGAUGCACCCCACUGCACAGCUAAACAAAUUAAUUUCUCCUUGUUUCAACAUUUGAGAGAGGAGACACACAGACCUAGGGAGUGAGUAGCUACAUCAUUUUUAAAGAGGAGCCCAAGAGGAUGAUUGCCCUGUUCCCACCCUUGCCUUUUCCUUGAAUUCUGUGAGUUUAGAAUUCUUAAAGUACAGAUCAAG